rnacentral:rRNA from 1 species
UACGUAGGGUGCAAGCGUUGUCCGGAAUUAUUGGGCGUAAAGAGCUCGUAGGCGGCUUGUUGCGUCGGCUGUGAAAACCCGCGGCUUAACUGCGGGCUUGCAGUUGAUACGGGCAGGCUAGAGUUCGGUAGGGGAGACUGGAAUUCCUGGUGUAGCGGUGAAAUGCGCAGAUAUCAGGAGGAACACCGGUGGCGAAGGCGGAUCUCUGGGCCUUACCUGACGCUGAGGCGCGAAAGCUAGGGGAGCGAACAGG